UGGUGAACCAGCGGAGGGAUCAUUAGAGAACGGAUCCGUAAAACGGUCACCGGCUCUGCCAACCCCCGUGAACCUUAUACCUUUCUAUAUGUUGCCUCGGCGAGCGUUGCGCGGAUGCGGCGAUGCGCGGAAGAGCUAGCGAGAGAGAGAGAGCGGGCGUGCCGCGGCCAGCGAGCGAGAGAGCCUAGCGUCUCUUGCUACUAGCCGCUGCUGCCCGCUCGCUCUGCUCCCUCCCCCUCCAAGCAACGUAGCAGCCCCGCUGCCGCCGGCAGCCAAACCCAAAAACGCUCAUUAAAUGCUCUGCGCUCCAUCUGAACAGAAAAAAACAAACGAGUAAAAACUUUUGGCAACGGAUCUCUUGGCUCUGG
rnacentral:misc_RNA from 1 species